GAAGCUACAAAGCCAUGCUUACUCAUACUGUUUCAAAUUUUUGCAACUCUGUAGUGUUUCACUUUUAAAGGAACAUCUUUGAUUCCAAAGGAGAAAAUAAGAUAAGCAAAGAAGUCUUUCUCUCCAACUUCUCAAAGGCUUAUGGCUUCCUAAAAACAAGUGAAACUUUCAGCAUUCCACAGCUGAUUUAAAGCAACAAAUGCCUGUGAAACAGCAAAGAUGGUAAGCAAAGCAAACUAGUUUUUCAGUCUAAGUCAAAAUUGAACCAAGUUUCUUCCUCUAGUACGGUAAAACAAGCUGCACGUCAUGGCAAUGGAAGUGCUGUCUAGAUUUAAAAAAAUAAGGAAAUGAAAUACUUCAAUACAUUAGAAGUUCUCAAAAUUCAACAUUUCUUCUUGGAUAAAAGAGUUUAUGGCACCAGUUUUGAAACUAAAGAUAAGAAUGCAGCUCGCUGUAGACAGAAUACUGUGAAGUAGGGUUGGGAGGGGGUAUUUUGUGCCCAGUAUCUCAGUGAAGAUGCUCAAACAGACUGCGUGUACUGUUACUUUAAGAAAAUUAAAAGACUUGUGAAAUCAGGAAUUGGUUUAGGUUGACAGAUACCGUCUCAGCUAUUGGGAGUUUGAAGCAAGCCAUUGCGAACUUGACAUUUAGUUGGAUGCCUGACUGUUCAGUUUUGACACAGCAUUACAGGGAUACCUGGUACAUGUGGCAGAACCUGUGACGAGUUAAGACUCAGGUAAAGCCAUGAAGUUCAAAUGAUGCUCUUGAAUAUAGUAUACGUGAAGACCUCCAACUAAAAGCAAAACCAAAGCUUUUUACUUCUGUUUAGUCCUCAGUAUGUUUGGUCGUUCAACUUAUGGAUUUAACAUGGCAGUGCACCAUUGAAAAGGAAUGAGAAUCCAUAAGCCAUGCAACCAGUCACUAAGUCAUUCCAGUCCAUUCCAGACCAGUGAAUCCUCCACCACUUAAAAGAGAAGUAGUAAAACUUGAAACAGACUAAUCUGCAAACCCAAGCUUGUGACUCUUGAAAUGGGGGGAAGUGCUAUAGAUGGACUCGUGCAGUAAAAUGUAUUUUUCUCAGCUUGCUUUAUUUUGAUUACAGGAUGAUAACUUCUGGAAGAUGCUUCGGAAGUAAAGCAGCUUCGUCUGGUUUGGUGGCAGAGAUGAGUGGUGCCUGUACUGAUAGAUCAGACUAGAAGAAGGCAGUGCAGCAAUGGAUAUGCACUGGAAAAAUGAAGAACAACAAAAUGCAGCUGGCAAAAGUUGACUUUUGAGUGUGGUGUCACCCAGUAUCUGUUUCAGAGAGUUGUGUUACUAUUUAAGGAAUUUUCUUUGAAAGUAGCCCAUCUGAUCUCUUACAUCCAAGUGUUUCUUAGAUGAAAAUCAGUUGUCUCCUGUAGCUUACAUCUUCCAAGAGCCAGGAGUCUUAUUUCUAUGCAGUAAACAUGCAUCAGUAAAUUCUGAAGCAGAAAAAUACUCAGGGUUCCUCUUUACACGCAUUGCUUUUCCUCUUCCCUAAAAGAAGAGCCAGUUAUAGGAAAGUGAGUUAUAGUCCUCUAAAAUGCAGAGGACUAAAUAGCUCCAAAUUCUUCCUCACCAAGAGACCAGCAGGAGUUUUACAGUAUUGUUACUUGAAAAUUUCCUAAUUGUCCUAGCCUUGUGGAUUAGAGGAAGAAGGCAUUGAUGUAGUGAGGCAGUACAAGUGAUGAGUUACCAGAAUGAUCAGUGGUCUUAUGUUUACUAGGUUCUUAGAAAGCUCCAGCAGGUGCCAGCAGUGUACAUCCUAACAAGUGCACAAUUCCAUAGAAACAAGAUGUUUUCUUCAAAAUACUGCCUCGGUUUUGAUGUGUUUUUAACCUAUCUGUGUGCUGAUUUGCCAGCACACACGAGAGUAAUGCUCAGACAUGAGUACUUGAUACAGAAAACUAACCAGAUUGGCAGAGGUACUUAGUUAAGGCUUAUAAAAUUUAUACUAUUUCUACAGUAGACAUAAAUGUAAAUACCUCUCGGUUUUUCAGUGAGUAACUAAUAAAGAAAAAGCAUGUGUACCCUUUCAAGGACGUUAAAGCUAUGUCUGUUUUUUGGGUUAAGAGUAUCACUUUCAACUUCAGCUAAAAAUUGCAGAUACUAUGAGUAAAUUGCCUCUAAAUAGGAAAAUGGAUAAAACUGCAGUAUUUUCCAGCGUUAAUAAAUGAGUUGUUAAAUAAAACGAUUGUUUGUUUUAAAUAAAUUCUUAUUUCUUG
rnacentral:lncRNA from 1 species